rnacentral:rRNA from 1 species
UACGUAGGGUGCGAGCGUUGUCCGGAUUAUUGGGCGUAAAGGGCUCGUAGGCGGCGUGUCGCGUCGGGAGUGAAAGCCCGUUGCUUAACGGCGGGUUGGCUUUCGGUACGGGCAUGCUGGAGUGCGGCAGGGGAGACUGGAAUUCCUGGUGUAGCGGUGGAAUGCGCAGAUAUCAGGAGGAACACCGGUGGCGAAGGCGGGUCUCUGGGCCGUUAGCUGACGCUGAGGAGCGAAAGCGUGGGGAGCGAACAGG